GGGCCAUAACGCUUUCUAACGCCGGUUCUCGUCCGAGUGUCGAAGUUAAGCAAGGUCGAGCCUUGUCAGUAUUUAGAUGGGUAACUGCUUGGGAAUACCAGGUGCUAUAA